UUAUUUUUCAUUUGUUGGGUAAUCCAUUUAGUUUAAUGAAAUGGCUCACAGGAACUUCAACAAGAAAUUGUAGCAUAUAAGGAUCAGUUGGAAACUCUGGAAAAACGAUUAAGGUUCUUUGAAAGUGAUCCUUCUGAAAUUACCACAUUAUCCGAGGCACAUAUUCGUGAAUGUAUAUUUGAAGAAACUUUAAACCGUGUUUCGUUGCCCAUAAGGACACUGGAGGAGGAGAAUAACCAUCUUGAGGCUGUACCUGUCACUUCUCA